UGGUUGAUCCUGCCAGUAGUCAUAUGCUUGUCUCAAAGAUUAAGCCAUGCAAGUCUAAGUAUAAGCACUUAUACUGUUAAACUGCGGAAAGCUCAUUAUAUCAGUUAUAGUUUAUUUGAUGGUAAACCCACUACAUGGAUAACCGUAGUAAUUCUAGAGCUAAUACAUGCCUUGAAGCGGUAACUUCGGAAGCCGUGGACUUAUUAGAUCAAGAGCUGACCCUUUUCGGAGGAACAAGCUGAAUCAUAGUAAUUUCGCUAAUCGCAGUGGUUUUGUGCCGGCGAUGGGUCAUUCAAAUUUCUGCCCUAUCAGCUGUGAUGUUAGUGUAGUGGACUAACAUGGCAUAAACGGGUGACGGAGGAUUAGGGUCUGAUUCCGGAGAGGGAGCCUGAGAAAUGGCUACCACUUCCAAGGAAGGCAGCAGGCGCGUAAAUUACCCAAUCCCGAUACGGGGAGGUAGUGACAAGAAAUAGCAAUACCGGAUCUUUUAAGAUCUGGUAAUUGGAAUGAGUACAAUCUAAAAUCCUUAACUAGGACCCAUUGGAGGGCAAGUCUGGU
rnacentral:rRNA from 2 species